AUUGAACGCUGGCGGCAUGCUUUACACAUGCAAGUCGAACGGUAACAGGUUAAGCUGACGAGUGGCGAACGGGUGAGUAAUGCAUCGGAACGUGCCCGAUCGUGGGGGAUAACGCAGCGAAAGCUGCGCUAAUACCGCAUACGAUCUGAGGAUGAAAGCGGGGGACCGUAAGGCCUCGCGCGAUCGGAGCGGCGGAUGUGAGAUUAGGUAGUUGGGGGGGUGAAGGACAAGCAAGCCGACGAUCUGUAGCUGGUCUGAGAGGACGACCAGCCACACUGGGACUGAGACACGGCCCAGACUCCUACGGGAGGCAGCAGUGGGGAAUUUUGGACAAUGGGCGAAAGCCUGAUCCAGCAAUGCCGCGUGCAGGAAGAAGGCCUUCGGGUUGUAAACUGCUUUUGUACGGAGCGAAAAGGUCCUUUCUAAUACAAGGGGCUCAUGACGGUACCGUAAGAAUAAGCACCGGCUAACUACGUGCCAGCCGCCGCCGUAA
rnacentral:rRNA from 1 species